GCGCGUAUGCGAAUACGAGCGGCAGACGGGUGAGUAACGCGUAGGAAUCUACCUUUUUCUACGGGAUAACGCAUGGAAACGUGUGCUAAUACCGUAUACGCCCUAUUGGGGGAAAGAUUUUAUUGGAGAGAGAUGAGCCUGCGUUGGAUUAGCUAGUUGGUAGGGUAAGAGCCUACCAAGGCUACGAUCUAUAGCUGGUCUGAGAGGACGAUCAGCCACACUGGGACUGAGACACGGCCCAGACUCCUACGGGAGGCAGCAGUGGGGAAUAUUGGACAAUGGGGGCAACCCUGAUCCAGCCAUGCCGCGUGAGUGAAGAAGGCCUUAGGGUUGUAAAGCUCUUUCGCCGGAGAAGAUAAUGACGGUAUUCGGAGAAUAAGCCCCGGCUAACUUCGUGCCAGCAGCCGCGGUAAUACGAAGGGGGCGAGCGUUGUUCGGAAUAACUGGGCGUAGAGGGCUCGUAGGCGGGCGAUUAAGUUAGAGGUGAAAUCCCAGGGCUCAACCUUGGAACUGCCUUUAAUACUGGUUGUCUAGAGUUUAGGAGAGGUGAGUGGAAUUCCGAGUGUAGAGGUGAAAUUCGUAGAUAUUCGGAGGAACACCGGUGGCGAAGGCGGCUCACUGGCCUGAUACUGACGCUGAGGCGCGAAAGCGUGGGGAGCAAACAGGAUUAGAUACCCUGGUAGUCCACGCCGUAAACGAUGAGUGCUAGCUGUUGGGUGGUUUACCAUUCAGUGGCGCAGCUAACGCAUUAAGCACUCCGCCUGGGGAGUACGGUCGCAAGAUUAAAACUCAAAGGAAUUGACGGGGGCCCGCACAAGCGGUGGAGCAUGUGGUUUAAUUCGAUGCAACGCGCAGAACCUUACCAGCCCUUGACAUGUAUAGGACGAUAUCAGAGAUGGUAUUUUCUUUUCGGAGACCUUUACACAGGUGCUGCAUGGCUGUCGUCAGCUCGUGUCGUGAGAUGUUGGGUUAAGUCCCGCAACGAGCGCAACCCCUGCCUCUAGUUGCCAUCAAGUUUAGGUUUUUACCUAGAUGUUGGGUACUUUAUAGGGACUGCCGGUGAUAAGCCGGAGGAAGGUGGGAUGACGUCAAGUCCUCAUGGCCCUUGUGGCUGGGCUACACACGUGCUACAAUGGUGGUUACAAUGGGUUGCGAAGUCGCGAGGGUGAGCUAACUCCAAAAACCCGUCCUCAGUUCGGAUUGCAGGCUGCAACUCGCCUGCAUGAAGCCGGAAUCGCUAGUAAUCGCCGGUCAGCCGUACGGCGGUGAAUUCGUUCCCGGGCCUUGUACACACCGCCCGUCACACCAUGGGGAGUGGGUUGCACCAGAAGUAGCUAGUCUAACCUUCGGGAGGACGGUUACCACGGUGUGAUUCAUGACUGGGGUGAAGUCGUAACAAGGUAGCCGUAGGGGAACCUGCGGCUGGAUCACCUCCUUUCUAAGGAAGAUGUUGAGUAUCAUUGAAUUUAUUGAGUGAUCUGAACGUUUUUUGAAGAUUAAAGCUUUUAAUUAAGCUUGAUAUAAAUUUGCUGUUGUGAAGCAGCGUUUUUAAAAGGAUCGCCGUCCAUGUUUCUCUUUCUUUUCGGAUUUUUUGCGAUGAUGGGGGGUCGUUAAUAUUUGGUUUUGAGGGCCCGUAGCUCAGGUGGUUAGUGUGCACCCCUGAUAAGGGUGGGGUCGGUAGUUCAAAUCUACCUGGGCCCACCACUUUUUGUUCAGGGGGCCGUAGCUCAGUCGGUAGAGCGCCUGCUUUGCAAGCAGGAUGCCAGCGGUUCGAUUCCGCUCGGCUCCACCAUUGGCGUAAUUAUGGAAUUUUGUUCUGAUUUUUUGGAGCAAGAGUUUUUUGAAAAUUGAAUAGAAGAUAUAUUUUUUUGUAUUUUCUAUGUUGGCAUUGUAUGCGACAUAUAAGAUACCGGCGUUGUUAACCGCACGUUGAGAAUUUAUCUCAGGAAAUUGGUCUAUUGAAGAAGCAUAAGGAUAUUAUGUUUUUUUAAUUAUAAAGAGUUUGCAAAGAACUUUAUGACGAUUGACAAUGAGAGUAAUCAAGCGCGAAAGGGCAUUUGGUGGAUGCCUUGGCAUGCACAGGCGAUGAAGGACGUGAUAUGCUGUGAUAAGCUAUGGGGAGCUGCAAAUAAGCAUUGAUCCGUAGAUUUCCGAAUGGGGUAACCCGCCUUAUGUGCCUAGGAAACUGAACUAAGUUGGUUUAAUUUUCUAGGUAUUUUGAAGGUAUCUUUAUCUGAAUGAAAUAGGGUAAAAGAAGCGAACGCAGGGAACUGAAACAUCUAAG
rnacentral:rRNA from 1 species